CCUGCCUCAGCCUCCCAAGUAGCUGGGACUACAGGCACCUGCCACCACGCCCGCCUAAUUUUUUUGCAUUUUUAGUAGAGACAGGGUUUCACCGUGUUAGCCAGGAUGGUCCCGAUCUCCUGAUCUCGUGAUCAGCCGGCCUCGGCCUCCCAAAGUGCUGGGAUUACAGGCGUGAGCCACCGUGUCCGGCCUAACAAAUGAAUUUCGUAGAAAAAUUAUUACUUUCUGAUAUUAGACAGCUGGGGGAGUAAUAAAGUUGAGCCUGUUCUAGGUAGCCAGACUAUCCAUACUCUAGAACUUAGAUAUGUUCCUUACAAAAGUAUUUUACACAUUUUAAUUUUUUUACUAAAUAUUUUAUUUUAACAAGUUUUUGUUAUAACACGUGAAACAAUGAGAAGAUGUGUAAAUAGGCAAAUAAUCCUCCACCCACACAUCAAACACACCUGCUUCAUAGAAGUAAUAUAAACAGACUAGUGAAUACAAUCCUAUAUUUUCCAUGCUGUGUGUGUGGUUUGUGUACAUACACACUGGGUUUUGGAGGAGCUUAAAGACAACAAUAUAAUGCUAUUCAUAUUUCACUGAUACCUACUUUUUCCAAUUAUUUUAUUUUAGGUAUCAUUUCAGGUAAUCAACCCAGAUUUAUUGUUUCAAAGCUGUAAAAUAUUAUAUAACAGAAAUGAAUUUCUUCAAACAUUUCUCUAUUUUGGGAUAUUCAGAACAUUUCUAAUUUUCACAGUGCAAACAAAUGCACCUACUUCUACCCUUAUUUCUAUUUAAUAAAUUUCCUAAAAUUAUCAUGAUGAGGCAAAGGACAGUCAAACUUUAAAUUUCAAUAUUAUUGAUAUAUUGUUUUUCAAACAAAUUUCCAAUGUCUUUAAAUCAUGACAUCAUUGUAUACUGAAAACGUGUUUUUCCUACUAGUAUGCUAUACCUAUGAGAUCUCAUACAUCAUACAUAUGUGCUACUAUUUCUAGCCUGAUUUAAAUUGUAUUACCUAUUUUUUUUCCAAUAUCAGGUUUUUGAUUAAGUAAAUUCAUAAUAAUUUGUAAUGUCUGGUAAAAAAAAUAUAUAACCCACCUAAUAUUUCUUUUCCACAUGUAUUGGGCUCUACUACAUGUUCAGCUGAACAAAAUAACAAAAUAUGGGAAACUAUCAGGACAAUUUCCUAAAUUGAACACUCUUUCAUGGAAAAAAGUAAAUUGGAACCUGCACUUGUGAGGCUUGGAAACUACCACCUAAGAUGUUUAAAAGGAAAACUGUCGUUUGCCUCAAAAUGUUUAUCCUUGGGAAGGAAUCAAUAUUGUGCUGACUUUCUCCCCAUACCUAAGUUGGCUUUGCUCCAAUAGUAUUAUUUCCCUCUUUACAAAGUAAAAGUCCAAACAAAAAAACUGUUACUUAAAUAAGUUCCUCUCUAAUUUAUUUGUUCCCCAAUGUCACCAGCUCAAAGACAUUUACAAUAAACUCCAUAUUGGAAAUUGCAAAUCUUUCCACAUUGCUAGCACUCAUGGUCACUUUAUAAAUUAUGUAUUUCUUCUUUCAUUGUUUCAUGUGCUUAUAUAUAUGUGCAUGUGUAUAUAUAUACAUAUACACACACACACAACAUACCUGUUCAAACAUUUAUUGUUUACUAUUAAUAUUGUUUGGCUCUAUGUCCCCACUCAUAUCUCAUCUCGAAUUGUAAUCCCCACACAUCAAGGGAGGGACCUGGUGGGAGGUGACUGUAUCAUGGGGGGUGGAUUCCCCCAUGCUGUUCUUAUGAUGGUGAGAUAGUUCUCACAAGAUCCGGUGGUUUAAAAGUGUUUGGCAGUUCCCUCCUCACUCUCCCUCUCUUGUCGCCUUAUGAAGAAGGUCCUUGCCUCCCCUUUACCUUCCACCAUGAUUGUAAGUUUCCUGAGGCCUCCCCAGCCAUGUGGAACUGUCAGUCAAUUAAAACUUUUUCUUCAUAAAUUACCCAGUCUCAGGAAGUUCUUUAUAGCACUGUGAAAACACACUAAUACAACCAUUCACCAAUGUAGUUUUGCCGGCAUAAUUUGUACUCUCUCUGCCCCCACUCUCAGAAAAAUCAUAAUACUCCUUCAGUGUUCUAAUAAUCUUAGACAAUGGGCUAUAUCUGUUCUCCAGCUUGGGUUUCAGCUCACUAUUUACUGCUUUGGUCUCUUGUCAUAUUGUCAAAUGGACAUUAGUGGUGGGGCUCUUUAAUCCAAUUCGAAAUGCAGCCACAACAUUCAGAUAACUUUGGGAUUGCUGAAAGAGAAGACCACAUACCUACAUCUACGAUUAUUUUUUUCAUAUAUUUAGUCAGAGACACAGUAUUUAAUGGGACUAUCAUUAAUAGAGUUACCAUCAUUGGUGUACAUACAACAAAUCCUAGUAAUAUUUUUUUUCUCAUCUCUUGUAUCCCUAAUGCAGUGAACAUCAGUUGGUAACACUUUUUAAGCUGAUAGAGUCUUGUCAGUUUUUUAAAAAUAAAUCACUUUUAGCUAUGCCAAUGCCCUUUUAUCCAGCAAGUCAUGAAGCCACUGUGGGGAUUUUUCCAGUGACUAAACAUGCCUAUCCCAAUUACAGAUUCAGGUACUGGAGUGAAAAACACAGGAUAGACCUCUGGACCCACUGGGCCCACUGUGAGUUUGACCUCAGUCUCCAUCUAUCACCAGAGCACUUUAUGUUCCCUCUCUGGUGGACCACAGUGCAAUUUUUGGUCCCCACAAAUUAGUGUUCAUUCAAAGUCAGGGCCUCGUAAUCUCCAAAAGUUCUGCUCAUUUUAUUUUCCCCUAUGUAGUCACUCUUGUAAAUGGCCACAGCCCUUUCAGGAAGGCUAGAUGGAAGAUUUAUUGUGUGUACAUAUGGCAGUGGUCCAUUAUUGCAGAACAGGUAGUAAAGAGUAAAUUUGUAGCUGAGAGGCAAUAAAUUGAUAACUGGCACAAAGUGUGAAGAGAAUAUAGAGCAUUUCAAAUGAAGGACUUAGACCAUUAUAAUAAAAUGUGGCAAAAUUUAUAUCAAAGACAAUUUAGUCUCUAAGGAGAAUAAAUGUCAAAUAAGAGGAAUGCUUUCUUGAGGAGCAGAUAUUUGAUGCCAUAUUGUAAAACAUUAGAAGAAUAUAUUCACCCCUAUUCAAUAGUCUUAUAAGGUUAAUAAUAUCAAGGGAUGUGUCCUAGAAAUAUUAUCCAUCCUACCAGGGUUGAAAGUAUACUUGACACAUAAUAAGUUUGUACUGAAUCUACUUCUCUUUUCGAUGAGCUUAGAAUGUACAAAUAUUUCUAAUGAUGAAACAGUAUGAAGGCACAUGUUCUGUAGGGGAAUAAAAGUUUCAGCUGUGUACAUUUCUUAUAAAAAUAGUAUUAUUGUACUAUAAGCACUUUAAUAACUGCUUUUCACCUCUCAUUUAAUCAUGUCUGUUAACAACCUUCUAUUACCAUCAGAUGACAAAUAUUUAUCAGUUGUCCCC
rnacentral:lncRNA from 10 species